UACGUAGGGUGCAAGCGUUAAUCGGAAUUACUGGGCGUAAAGCGUGCGCAGGCGGUUGUGCAAGUCAGAUGUGAAAUCCCCGGGCUCAACCUGGGAACUGCAUUUGUGACUGCACGGCUGGAGUGCGGCAGAGGGGGAUGGAAUUCCGCGUGUAGCAGUGAAAUGCGUAAAUAUGCGGAGGAACACCGAUGGCGAAGGCAAUCCCCUGGGCCUGCACUGACGCUCAUGCACGAAAGCGUGGGGAGCAAACAGG
rnacentral:rRNA from 1 species